ensembl:snRNA U4 U4 spliceosomal RNA
AGCUUUGUGCAGUGACAGUAUCAUAGCCAAUGAGGUUUAGACGAGGUGAGAUCAUUGCUCAUUGAAAGCUUUUUUAGUCUUAUUUCACAUUGUUCCAUUUUACAUACUCUAUAUUCCAGUCAAAGAAGUAUAUGGAGGACUAACUAACUAACUGACUGACUAGU